rnacentral:rRNA from 1 species
UACGGAAGGCAGCAGUGGGGAAUAUUGCACAAUGGGCGAAAGCCUGAUGCAGCUAUGCCGCGUGUAUGAAGAAGGCCUUAGGGUUGUAAAGUACUUUCAUCGGGGAGGAAAAACAAAACUAAUAAUUUUAUUUCUUGACGUUACCCGAAAAAGAAGCACCGGCUAACUCCGUGCCAGCAGCCGCGGUAAUACGGAGGGUGCUAGCGUUAAUCAGAAUUACUGGGCGUAAAGAGCACGUAGGUGGUUUUUUUAAAGUCAGAUGUGAAAUCCCUGGGCUUAAACCUAGGAACUGCAUUUUGAAACUGAAAUACUAGAGUAUCGUAGAGGGAGGUAGAAUUCUAGGUGUAGCGGUGAAAUGCGUAGAUAUCUGGAGGAAUACCUGUGGCGAAAGCGGCCUCCUAAACGAAUACUGACACUGAGGGUGCGAAAAGCGUGGGGAGCAAAACAGGGAUUAGAUACC